rnacentral:lncRNA from 1 species
CAAAUGGGGUGCUCUUCUUAUGUACAGAGCCACUCUUCUGUAUUCAUUCCUGCCCUCCCGGCAAUGACAGAGACCAUAACCUACCACCUCUUGGCCUUCAGCAACUUCUCAAACGUUCAUUAGUUUAUCAUCAUUUCACAGAGGUGACCAGGCCUUCAACCAGGAUCUCGCAUGGGAGGAGGACUAGGGCCAGGACUUCCCAAAGCAGAGUAACAGAGGAGACGAGCCCCUGCUCUAGCUCUUGUAACCAUUACCACAGCUCCCAAAUGGACCAUGUUGAUUAUGUUCAUUUUUGAGACUUACUAAAGCACAUGUAUGUUCCUGUCUAGGAUGGCUUUUCACAUAUGGUCCUUACUGUGGAAAAAGUCUAUUUGCAUCAGCCAUCAAAGUCAAAAGGCAGAAUCUGAUACUAUGCCUAAAAAUUUUUUAAGGAAACUACUAACCAUAAUGAUCAGGAGAAAAAGAAGAUAUAAAUUGGCAAGAUCAAGAAUGAGAGUGACAUCACUAGAGAUCCUACAGAUAGGAAAAGAA